rnacentral:rRNA from 1 species
GUCCACGCCCUAAACGAUGUCAACUGGUUGUCGGGAAGCAAUUCCUUGGUAACGAAGCUAACGCGUGAAGUUGACCGCCUGGGGAGUACGGCCGCAAGGUUAAACUCAAAGGAAUUGACGGGGACCCGCACAAGCGGUGGAUUAUGUGGAUUAAUUCGAUGCAACGCGAAAACCUUACCUACCCUUGACAUGUACGGAAGCCUGCAGAAAUGCGGGUGUGCCCGAAAGGGAGCCGUAACACAGGUGCUGCAUGGCUGUCGU